rnacentral:ncRNA from 1 species
GUAAAUACUUUGAGUGGGAAGUGUAGGUAUUUAAGGUCCUAAGAGAGCAGUCGCCAUGGCUGAAAGCAACUGCGGAUACAUAUGCUGAAAGUGCGCCCAGGAGUAUCAGGCUGGAAAUAAGUAUAGCCUGGCGGAGCCUCCCGUUAAAGAGAUAUGAGUCGGGUGAAAGCCUGAACAGAGUGGAACCGCGGAUAUACUUCGUCUCUGAU